AUUGAACGCUGGCGGCAGGCCUAACACAUGCAAGUCGAGCGGAUGAGUGGAGCUUGCUCCAUGAUUCAGCGGCGGACGGGUGAGUAAUGCCUAGGAAUCUGCCUGGUAGUGGGGGACAACGUUUCGAAAGGAACGCUAAUACCGCAUACGUCCUACGGGAGAAAGCAGGGGACCUUCGGGCCUUGCGCUAUCAGAUGAGCCUAGGUCGGAUUAGCUAGUAGGUGAGGUAAUGGCUCACCUAGGCGACGAUCCGUAACUGGUCUGAGAGGAUGAGCAGUCAAACUGGAACUGAGACACGGUCCAGACUCCUACGGGAGGCAGCAGUGGGGAAUAUUGGACCAUGGGCGAAAGCCUGAUCCAGCCAUGCCGCGUGUGUGAAGAAGGUCUUCGGAUUGUAAAGCACUUUAAGUUGGGAGGAAGGGCAGUAAGUUAAUACCUUGCUGUUUUGACGUUACCAACAGAAUAAGCACCGGCUAACUUCGUGCCAGCCGCCGCCGUAAGAC
rnacentral:rRNA from 1 species